UAGCGUCACCGGGGGUGCUCCCCUAGGGGGGCUGAGAAGGCCGACCGGCCUAACCCUUGGAACCUGAACCGGGUAAUGCCGGCGUAGGGAAGGUGACGGCGCCUUCCC
rnacentral:ncRNA from 2 species